AGCUUGACUGCGAGAGUGACGGCUCGAGCAGGUGCGAAAGCAGGUCUUAGUGAUCCGGUGGUUCUGAAUGGAAGGGCCAUCGCUCAACGGAUAAAAGGUACUCCGGGGAUAACAGGCUGAUACCGCCCAAGAGUUCAUAUCGACGGCGGUGUUUGGCACCUCGAUGUCGGCUCAUCACAUCCUGGGGCUGAAGUAGGUCCCAAGGGUAUGGCUGUUCGCCAUUUAAAGUGGUACGCGAGCUGGGUUUAGAACGUCGUGAGACAGUUCGGUCCCUAUCUGCCGUGGGCGCUGGAGAAUUGAGGGGGGCUGCUCCUAGUACGAGAGGACCGGAGUGGACGCAUCACUGGUGUUCGGGUUGUCAUGCCAAUGGCAUUGCCCGGUAGCUAAAUGCGGAAGAGAUAAGUGCUGAAAGCAUCUAAGCACGAAACUUGCCCCGAGAUGAGUUCUCCCUGACUCCUUGAGAGUCCUGAAGGAACGUUGAAGAGGACGACGUUGAUAGGUCGGGUGUGUAAGUGUAGCGAUACAUUGAGCUAACCGAUACUAAUGAACCGUGAGGCUUAACCUU
rnacentral:rRNA from 1 species